UAUAAUUUAAAGUAGGGCCUGCCCACUGAGAAAUUGAAGGGCCGCAGUAUCUUAACUGUGCAAAGGUAGCAUAAUCAUUAGUUUUUUAAUUGAAAGCUGGAAUGAAUGGUUUGAUGAAAAAAUUACUGUUUCAAUAUUAAUUAUUUAAAAUUUUAUUUUUAAGUUAAAAAGCUUAAAUUUUUAUAAAAGACGAGAAGACCCUAUAGAGUUUAAUUUAUAUUAAUAUAUUUUUAUUAAGAAUUUACAUUUUAAUAUUUUAAUAUAAAUUUGAUUGGGGUGAUUGAAAAAUUAAUUUAACUUUUUCUUAAUUUUUACAUUUAUUUAUG
rnacentral:rRNA from 1 species